rnacentral:tRNA from 1 species
GGGGGUGUGGUGGAAUGGUAGACACAACAGACUUAAAAUCUGUUGAUCAUAUCGGUCGUAAGGGUUCAAGUCCCUUUGCCCCUA